AGGGUUUGAUUCUGGCUCAGGACGAACGCUGGCGGUGCGCCUUAUGCAUGCAAGUCGAGCGAAGCUUUUCAGUAGUUUACUACAGAAAAUGACUGAGCGGCGAACGGGUGAGUAACGCGUGAGCAAUCUACCUUAGUUACAGGGAUAGCCCGAGGAAACUCGGAUUAAUACCUGAUAUUCUUUAUUUCUCGCAUGAGAAUAAAAGGAAAGGUCAGCCGAACUAAGAUGAGCUCGCGUUCUAUCAGCUUGUUGGUGAGGUAAAAGCUUACCAAGGCUACGACGGAUAGCUGGUCUGAGAGGACGAUCAGCCACACUGGGACUGAGACACGGCCCAGACUCCUACGGGAGGCUGCAGCAGGGAAUAUUGUGCAAUGAACGAAGGUUUGACACAGCGACACCGCGUGUGGGAUGACGGAUCUAGGUUUGUAAACCACUUUCAGGAGGGAAGAAAAUGACGGUACCUCCACAAGAAGCCCCGGCCAACUACGUGCCAGCCGCCGCGGUAAUUC
rnacentral:rRNA from 1 species